rnacentral:misc_RNA from 1 species
GAUGAAGAACGUAGCGAAAUGGGAUAAGUAAUGUGAAUUGCAGAAUUCAGUGAAUCAUCGAAUCUUUGAACGCACAUUGCGCCCGCCAGUAUUCUGGCGGGCAUGCCUGUUCGAGCGUCAUUACAACCCUCAGGCCCCCGGGCCUGGCGUUGGGGAUCGGCGGAAGCCCCCUGCGGGCACAACGCCGUCCCCCAAAUACAGUGGCGGUCCCGCCGCAGCUUCCAUUGCGUAGUAGCUAACACCUCGCAACUGGAGAGCGGCGCGGCCACGCCGUAAAACACCCAACUUCUGAAUGUUGACCUCGAAUCAGGUAGGAAUACCCGCUGAACUUAAGCAUAUCAAUAAGCGGAGGA